UCCCAAUGAAGCAACAUUCAUGUCUUACUUCCUGUCCUAGUCCCAGAGUCUGUAAAUUACGGUAAAUACACUGCAGUUGGCUGUGGAAGAAAAGCAAAGUUUGUUCCAGAAGGAACUGUCUGAGGAAU